rnacentral:misc_RNA from 1 species
UUUCCGUAGGUGAACCAGCGGAGGGAUCAUUAUUGAGUAACAUAACUCAGAAACCUUUCUCUACCCUGACAGGUCUUGCACCCCCGAGUGCCCUCACACCGCGCCAUCGCACCCCUAGGUGCACCACCGCGUCGGACCCCACUUGGCUUUUUCGGGGGGGGACUUACGUUUUCACACAUACUUCAUAUGAAGUUUUGAAUGUAUUUUUUGUUUAUGCGAUCACGCAUUCAAAACGACUUAGAACAACGGAUCACUAGUCUCUCGCAUCGUUGAAGAACG